CCCUCCCUCGCAGUCGCAGUCCCCCCAGCGCCUGGCCGGCGGCUCGGGCGGGGAGGCCCAGCUACGGCGCGCCUCAGCGGGAGUUCCGGGAGGUUGCGGGGGGGGUCAAGGGCGGAGCAAGCCAGGGACCCCCCCCCCCCGCCUGCAGUAUGCUUGGUCCCUGCUCCCAGCAGCCGAGCGCAGCAGGGGAGAGGCCUGAGCCUCCACCCCACAGAUUCAGGACAAUGCAACUGGGGCAGAAGAGUAAUGUUUGGCUUGAAUGUUGAGUAAGAACAGGAGGUGAAAGCCAUACGAGAAAUGGGACUGUCCAGUUUGGCCAAUGUACAAAGCAGAGGGGCAUUGCUGGCACAUGAUGGCAUAUAUUACAUUGGCACCGCGUACCGGCUCGGCUUACUUUCACCUCUGGAAAGAUGCAGUACAAGUAGUUGCAAGGGGAAAUUUGGAGGCAAAUGCUGAUUUAAAGGUGUUUAAUACCACUUUAUGUAAUCAAUUACCCAAGGGAGAACAUUGGAAAAAAAUGCUGUACUUCUAAAAUACUCACAUAUGGAAGAAUAUAAAUAAAACAGCAACUGUGCAUCCAGAGUAUCAUCAAACUAUAUUUGCAAAUUUAUUUUCUAUUAAAAGGCAAUAUUUCAUUAUAA